UGGGGAUGACGUCAAAUCAGCACGGCCCUUACGUCCAGGGCUACACACGUGCUACGAAUGGCCGGUACAAAGGGCAGCUACCUGGUGACAGGAUGCUAAUCUCAAAAGCCGGUCUCAGUUCGGAUCGGAGUCUGCAACCCGACUCCGUGAAGUUGGAAUCGCUAGUAAUCGUGGAUCAGCAUGCCACGGUGAAUACGUUCCCGGGCCUU
rnacentral:rRNA from 1 species